GACGAACGCUGGCGGCGUGCUUAACACAUGCAAGUCGAACGGAAAGGCCUUUUCGGAGGUACUCGAGUGGCGAACGGGUGAGUAACACGUGGGUGAUCUGCCCUGCACUCUGGGAUAAGCCUGGGAAACUGGGUCUAAUACCGGAUAGGACCGCACUUUAGUGUGUGUGGUGGAAAGGUUUUUCGGUGUAGGAUGAGCCCGCGGCCUAUCAGCUUGUUGGUGGGGUAAUGGCCUACCAAGGCGGCGACAGGUAGCCGGACUGAGAGGUUGGUCGGCCACAUUGGGACUGAGAUACGGCCCAGACUCCUACGGGAGGCAGCAGUGGGGAAUAUUGCACAAUGGGCGCAAGCCUGAUGCAGCGACGCCGCGUGGGGGAUGACGGCCUUCGGGUUGUAAACUCCUUUCGCCAGGGACGAAGCGUUUUGUGACGGUACCUGGAGAAGAAGCACCGGCUAACUACGUG
rnacentral:rRNA from 1 species